UGGGGAAUAUUGCACAAUGGGCGCAAGCCCGAUGCAGCCAUGCCGCGUGUAUGAAGAAGGCCUUCGGGUUGUAAAGUACUUUCAGCGGGGAGGAAGGCGAUGUGGUUAAUAACCGCGUCGAUUGACGUUACCCGCAGAAGAAGCACCGGCUAACUCCGUGCCAGCAGCCGCGGUAAUACGGAGGGUGCAAGCGUUAAUCGGAAUUACUGGGCGUAAAGCGCACGCAGGCGGUCUGUCAAGUCGGAUGUGAAAUCCCCGGGCUCAACCUGGGAACUGCAUCCGAAACUGGCAGGCUUGAGUCUCGUAGAGGGGGGUAGAAUUCCAGGUGUAGCGGUGAAAUGCGUAGAGAUCUGGAGGAAUACCGGUGGCGAAGGCGGCCCCCUGGACGAAGACUGACGCUCAGGUGCGAAAGCGUGGGGAGCAAACA
rnacentral:rRNA from 1 species